AGAGUUUGAUCCUGGCUCAGGAUGAAUGCUGGCGGCGUGCCUAACACAUGCCAGUCGAGCGUGAACACUUCGGGUGACUAGCGGCGGACGGCUGAGUAACGCGUGGAAACAUACCCCUAAGUGAGGGAUAACCGCCCGAAAGGGUGGCUAAUACCGCAUAUGAUCUUCGGAUUAGAGGAUUUAUUCGCUUUGGGAAUGGCCUGCGUACGAUUAGAUAGUUGGUGAGGAAAAGGCUUACCAAGUCGACCAUCGUUAACUGGUCUGAGAGGAUGAUCAGCCAGACUGGAACUGAGACACGGUCCAGACUCCUACAGGAGGCAGCAGUGAGGAAUCUUCCACAAUGGGCGAAAGCCUGAUGGAGCAACGCCGCGUGCAGGAUGAAGGCCCUCGGGUCGUAAACUGCUCUUAUGAGUGAAGAAUAUGUCGGUAGCUCAUGAAUAAGCACCGGCUAACUACGUCCAGCACCGCGGUCAUACGUAGGGUGCGAGCAUUAUCCGGAGUGACUGGGCGUAAAGAGUUGCGUAGGUGGUCAAGUUAGCGAAUAGUGAAAUCUGGUGGCUCAACCAUACAGGCUAUUAUUCGACCUGCUUGACUCGAGAGUAGCAGAGGUAACUGGAACUUCUAGUGUAGGAGUGAAAUCCGUAGAUAUUAGAAGGAUCACCAACGGCGUAGGCAGGUUACUAGGCUAUUUCUGACACUGAGGCACGAAAGCGUGGGGAGCGAUCGGGAUUAGAUACCCUGGUAGUC
rnacentral:rRNA from 1 species